GAAACCAACAGGGAUUGCCCUAGUAACGGCGAGUGAAGCGGCAACAGCUCAAAUUUGAAAGCUAGCCUUCGGGUUCGCAUUGUAAUUUGUAGAGGAUGAUUUGGGGAAGCCGCCUGUCUAAGUUCCUUGGAACAGGACGUCAUAGAGGGUGAGAAUCCCGUAUGUGACAGGAAAUGGCACCCUAUGUAAAUCUCCUUCGACGAGUCGAGUUGUUUGGGAAUGCAGCUCUAAAUGGGAGGUAAAUUUCUUCUAAAGCUAAAUAUUGGCGAGAGACCGAUAGCGCACAAGUAGAGUGAUCGAAAGAUGAAAAGCACUUUGGAAAGAGAGUUAAAAAGCACGUGAAAUUGUUGAAAGGGAAGCGCUUGCAAUCAGACUUGUUUAAACUGUUCGGCCGGUCUUCUGACCGGUUUACUCAGUUUGGACAGGCCAGCAUCAGUUUCGGCGGCCGGAUAAAGGCUCUGGGAAUGUGGCCUCCACUUCGGUGGAGGUGUUAUAGCCCAGGGUGUAAUACGGCCAGCCGGGACUGAGGUCCGCGCUUCGGCUAGGAUGCUGGCGUAAUGGUUGUAAGCGACC
rnacentral:rRNA from 1 species